UGAUAUCAACUCCUAUUAAAUCCCAAAACACAUUGUAUAUAAUGUGUAUUGAAUAAAGUGUAUUUAGAAAGUUUUCUCAAAAAGUCAAAACAUAAAGAGUGGAAUUUUGUUUGAUCAGAGAUAAGAUGUCCCAGACAAUGUUGAAUCAAUGUGUGAGAUAACAUGGUCUGAAAUAAUAGAUGAAUGAUUGAACAAAGUAAUAAAUAAAAGACAUAAGAAAUUUGUAACCUAGUUCAAUGUAAUUUUCACCUAUGUUGGGAGGGUAGUAGCCCGAUCAAAA
rnacentral:lncRNA from 1 species